GGAAUGGCUCAGCCGGCAGAGCAUGACUCUUAAUCUCAGGGUUGUGGGUUCAAGCCCCAUUUUGGGCA